rnacentral:rRNA from 1 species
UACGUAGGGGGCUAGCGUUGUCCGGAAUCAUUGGGCGUAAAGAGCGUGUAGGCGGCCCGAUAAGUCCGCUGUGAAAGUCGGGGGCUCAACCCUCGAAUGCCGGUGGAUACUGUCGGGCUAGAGUGCGGAAGAGGCGAGUGGAAUUCCUGGUGUAGCGGUGAAAUGCGCAGAUAUCAGGAGGAACACCUAUUGCGAAGGCAGCUCGCUGGGACGUAACUGACGCUGAGACGCGAAAGCGUGGGGAGCAAACAGG